GACGAACGCUGGCGGCGUGCUUAACACAUGCAAGUCGAACGAUGAAGCCGGAGCUUGCUCCGGUGGAUUAGUGGCGAACGGGUGAGUAACACGUGAGCAAUCUGCCCUUGACUCUGGGAUAACUGCGGGAAACUGUAGCUAAUACCGGAUACGACACCUUGGGGCAUCCCAGGGUGUGGAAAGAAUUUCGGUCAAGGAUGAGCUCGCGGCCUAUCAGCUAGUUGGUGAGGUAAUGGCUCACCAAGGCGACGACGGGUAGCCGGCCUGAGAGGGUGAACGGCCAAACUGGAACUGAGACACGGUCCUGACUCCUACGGGAGGCAGCAGUGGUGAAUAUUGCACAAUGGGCGAAAGCCUGAUGCAGCAACGCCGCGUGAGGGAUGAAGGCCUUCGGGUUGUAAACCUCUUUUAGCAGGGAAGAAGCGAAAGUGACGGUACCUGCAGAAAAAGCACCGGCUAACUACGUGCCAGCCGCCGCCGUAA
rnacentral:rRNA from 1 species